GAUGAGGUGGCUGAGUGGUUAAGGCAUUGGAUUACUACUCUGUUCUCCCCACGUAUGAGUUUGACUCCCAUCCUUGUUG